UGGGAUGUAGCCAAGUGGUAAGGCACAGGACUUUGACUCCUGCAUUUCGCUGGUUCGAGUCCAGCCAUCCCAGCCA
rnacentral:tRNA from 1 species